rnacentral:tRNA from 1 species
CAAAUCCGGUGUCGCU